AUUUGCUGCCCUAUGAUCUUGAUUUUUUAAGAUUGAUGUAUUCUUUUUUAUAAUCGGUAUUUAUUUUGUUUUGUACAUGAAUCAGUAAUUCAGCAAAUUAGCACAUUCUUUUUUAAAACAAAAUUCGAGUGGAGCAUAAAAGUAUCUUUUGUCUCCGUCGUUGUGUCAUUGCUCAAAACUAACACAUUCGUCGAGAAUGUCAUCUAAACUUCCAAAAUUAGUUAAAAGGUGCGAUGGAAAAAUUCCUGGGUCUGGCACACAGAGCAACCAUCAGAAAUUGGCCCAUGUCACUGCUGAACAAUUGCUAGAGAAAAGGGUUGAGGCUGAGUUUGCUUGCAAAAAUUUGGAGGACAAUAUCAAGAUUGCUGAGCAGAAAAUAAAAACCUUGUUUGAAAUGAAAGCGCUGGAAGAUGCAGCUUUUGAAGAAAGUUAUAUCAAGAGGGCGAUGCUGAUGGCCAGAUCAUCUCUGAGCAACAAUCAGUCCGUAACUUGCAGGGACGUGGAGGAGAGAGCAAAAACAAUCACUACAAAUCUAUCUAGCAAUGUGGUAGAGGAAGUCUCAUCUCGUGCGCAAUCAUUCAUAUUCAAUCCAAGCGCUAAGAAGUUGGAGAGCUCUAUGAAAAGCUCGCUGAAGUGGUGUUUAGAGUCGGAUGGUGAAUUGAUGGCUCCGAAAGUGAUUUUGGAUUUGGUAACAAAGUAUUCCUGCAAGGAAAGACUGAAUCACAUCGUGGAUAUUCAAAACGAAGUGAAACACGAGGUUUCCAAGUUUGUUGAGUCAAUUAACGUUGAAGAGGACGCACUGAAGUUGAGCAAAGCGCUAGAAAAACUGGAGAUAGGUUCGGUAGCUCUUACACCGCUGGAGCAGCAUAUCAAGGAAUUCACUUUGCAAAACGCCCAGAUGGUGUUGGUUGAGCAGGACUUGAUCAAUGAGAACAAAAGAUUGGAAAGAGAGCUGCAAGAACUGCUUCAAAACAAUCCAGACAUGACUUCUAACGUCCAGCAACUGAUGGCGGCUGAACAGUCUGCAGUUUUGCACUCUCACUUGGAAUCUCUCAACGAAGGCAACCCAAAUUUUCAAAAGAACGAAUCAGAAAAGGCGCGAAUGUUGAAGAAGAUUUCUGUCUUGCUCAAAGAAUUGGAGGAACUAAGGUUUUGUGUUAUGAAAGAUUUGAGCAGCAUGGAGAGCAUCUUGACACACCAACAAAAACUAGUUGAUGAUAUGCUAGAAAUUGGCAAAUCAAGUGAAGAUUUUGGGGAAAUGCUAGAAAUUGAAAAGUGUGUUCAGGCGCUGAUCAGUAACAUUUACUCAAUGUCAUUGAAACCUACAACCGUUAAUGUAAAUUUGGCUGCACCGCAAGAGAUCAUUGAGUCGUCUGACAUGAAAGCACUGUUACGGCAGCUCCAACUACUCCAGACACACGAAGUUGAAAAUCUACAAAAGCAGACUGAAGCCUUGGAACAGUUUAAAGUUUAUCCAUUGAUCACUCACAAAUGCAGGAGAAAUGAGCAAACUGAAUGAGACACUGCAAAAAGACGCAGCGCUUGUGCUAAAAUCUGUCUGUGAAGCUCAGAACUUGUACCUGGAUCGUGCCAGCGCCUCAAAAGAUUUUGUAGAAAAACUGGACAGCUGCAAGGAGAAUUUCGUGGAGAAGAAACUAGCAAUCGAUUCAGCCAGGAUUGGAAGUGACUUAUCGCUUCAAGAGUGGAUUGAUCAUUUCACUGAGAGCUUCCCUGAAAUAAACUGCAUCUCUGAAUGAUUUGUGAUUGUACAACAA